CAAGAAGAAAGACCUUUUCAAAAAGAAUGCAGACAGCCAGAAGUGGACAAGUACAAAGAGCUGUACCUGCAGGAAGUGAAAACCAGGAAAAGCCUCGCAAAGAAGCUGGAAAGAGCCAAGGAGAGACUUGAAGAGGCCAACGCGAAGCUCCUUUGGGAGCGCCAGAGAAGCAAAUCUGCAGCCACAAUCAGCGAUGUCAGGAGACAUCUGGCUGCAAUUCCACCUCUGGAUUCAGCUGGCCUGGGACACCUUGGGAACCGUCUGGGACUGGGCAGAACUCCCGGCCUCAGAACACACCCCAGCCACGUGUGGUAAAGCCGACGACUUUUGGUCAGCAGAGCAACUGUGGCAAAGAGCACUGUGAGGCAGGAACUUCCCACCUAAGUUCCACACUAAUUUACAUGUCCGGUCUGUGUGACCUGUUUCAAAUGGCUGAUGUCACCAUGAGUGCCAAUGCCAUCAGACAUCUGUGAGACACCGAGGAGGAGCCAGCCACGUCCCAAAGUCCAGCGCUGCCCCAGUGGUGGCAGGCCUGGCCCAGCCAUCCCAGGGAGCAGCACCCAGGCCAGGCCGGCACCGCCACAACCACAACCACUGCCUGUGCCCUGCCUGCUCUUCCCUGGCAGGAGCCCUUGGUGCCAGUGGGACAGGCAGGAGCUUUCCUGCUGCCCACUCAGCCCCUUGGCCACGGAUCUCCUUCUGCCACAGCCACUUGCGGCCUGGAGCGAUGGCAACGACCCUGCCUGUUCAGGAGGGUGCUCAGGGCUGUGCCAGGCUGUUCCUUGGCACCUGUGUCCCAUGAGGGCAGGAGCAACAGUGCCAGGCUGCCAGCACCAGGCAGCUGCCUGCAGGUGACCGUGUGAGCCUCGGCAGCGUCCGGCUGAGAGCGCGGCACAGGGAGGCACCGCAGCCACGGCUGCAGGGACAGCACCUCGGGCAUUUGGCUGCCCCAAGCACACACUGCCAGCCUGGGCUCACCCAGUGAUUCCUGUCACCAGCCUGGGAUUGCCCAGAACACACCUUAGGGCUUGAGCUGGGUCACAGUUUCAUCACAGUGUGCCAAUAGAUAGUAGGGUACAGAUAGAUUAGACAGAUUAUAAGAUAGGUAGAUAGA